rnacentral:snoRNA from 1 species
ACGGCAUGAUGGGGACAUUUUCUGAUGAGGUCCUUUAAUCUUUCCCAUGCCUCAUGGAACUGUUGACUCU